rnacentral:rRNA from 1 species
CCUACGGGAGGCAGCAGUGGGGAAUAUUGCGCAAUGGGCGGAAGCCUGACGCAGCGACGCCGCGUGAGGGAUGAAGGUCUUCGGAUCGGAAACCUCUGUCAGCAGGGAAGCACGGUCACUGUGCUAAUCAGCAGUGAAUUGACGGUACCUGCAAAGGAAGCACCGGCUACCUCCGUGCCAGCAGCCGAGGUAAUACGGAGGGUGCGAGCGUUAGUCGGAAUUGGUGGGCGUAAAGCGCUCGUAGGCGGUAUGUCAAGUCAAGGGUGAAAUCUCCGCGCUCAACGUGGGAACUGCCGUUGAAACUGGCAAACUGGAGUGUGUGAGAGGAUAGCGGAAUGCCAGGUGUAGGAGUGAAAUCCGUAGAUAUCUGGAGGAACAUCAGUGGCGAAGGCGACUAUCUGGCACAUAACUGACGCUGAGGAGCGAAAGCGUGGGUAGCAAACAGGAUUAGAUACCCUGGUAGUC